GUGCCUGCUUUGGCAGCACAUAAACUAAAAAAUUGGAAUGAUACAGAGAAGAUUUGCAUGGCCUCUGCGCAAGGAUGACAUGCAAAUUUGUGAAGUGUUCCAUUUAUUU